rnacentral:misc_RNA from 1 species
GGCACGGAGGAAAGCAAAUGAAGAACAAUCACCUGGUGAUCUUCCAACCGACCUUGAAGUUGGGGAUGGAGUGGAGGCAGCGAAUGUUGGAUUUGGUAGAGUUUUCUCACUGGCAAAACCUGAUGCUGGGAAGCUUGCAGUUGGCACCACUGCGUGGCUGAUAGCAUCCACAUCAACCCAAAUAUGGUGGAAUGAUAAUCGACACUGUAUCAAGAGAUAUAAGUACUCCUUAAGACCAAUCACAAGCUUUGGAUGCAAUCAAGAACACCAUACUAGAUAUUGUGCUGAUAGUUGUAAUUGGGUAUGACCAUUUUUCUCUAUCACUUUACCAUGUCUGAUUUGCAUUAUUAUGCCUGUGCAUUUUGUUCUCAUUUGCUUCUGUAGAAGUCGGUUCAUUGUGGUGUUUUCUUUCUCAACUAUGUGGGGUGAUUUUAUUAAUGUGAUCUUAUAAGAUCCAAUGUUUAUUGAAUGAUCAUUAUCUAAUUCCAUUAAGGUUUGAAACGACAAUUCUUUUCUUACGUAAAUUUAAAUAUGUUUACCUUUUCUCCUUGCUUUCAUAAAUGACAGAAAUGUGGUAACUUCAAUUACACUCUUAUCAUUGAAGUCCUCAAACAGAAUCUUUGAAAAAUUGUGACAACAUCUAAUUUCAUCUCAUUGUCGACACAUCUGUAAUGCAAAAUAUUGCAUAAAGCUUUACCUAGUUUCUUUCUUGUCUAGCAAUUGGACGACUUUUUUAAAGGACUUCUAAUCAUACCUUUCCUUUUGCUUGUUUUGGUUCUUUGUGCACUGCACCUCGAGCAUGGCUAUUUGCUUCUGCUUGUGAAAGGGUUGUAGCCCGUUUGAGAAAGAACUUAUUCAGCCACCUAAUCAAUCAGGUGAGGUCCCCCAGUUAUUGAACAUAUAAAACUGGGAGAGGCUAGGUGCAAUCCUUUUUAUUCCUCAACCAAUGUAUUUAUUAGUCUUGUGGAUUUCAAAUAUAUUAAAAUGCUAUAUGCAUUGUGAAAACCAUGAAUUUUUUGUUCAGUGAAAAAUUCCAGCAUAGCAAAAAUAGCUGGUUAAAGAUUUUCCAGCCUAUUGAGAGUCAUUUUAAGAAGCUGGUUUGCAAGUGCUUGUUUAUUUUCUGCUUCGGUAAUCAUUUGGAACUCUGCACAUUUAUGAUUCAACAGUAAAUAGCCUUCUUUGAUGUUACCCGAACAGGAGAACUUCUCAGCGGGCUUUCAGAAGACACACAGGUUAUAAAAAAUGCAGCAACAACUAAUCUUUCUGAGGCACUUCGUAAUGUAACAAUUGCAUUAAUUGGUGUCGACUUCAUGUUUACAUCAUCAUGGAA